rnacentral:lncRNA from 1 species
AUGUUCCUUAUACACCUCCAAAAGGUACUCCAUCACCUGGCAAUCAACCUCCGUAUGUUCCAGUUACACCAUCUCCUGUUCACACCCCUCCUACUGUUCCUUAUACUCCACCAAAAGCUCCUUCUCCUGGAAAUGAACCACCAUAUGUACCAAUUAUAACACCACCAAAAACACCUUCUCCUGUACACACCCCUCCUAGUGUUCCAUAUACUCCACCAAAAUCUCCUUCUCCUGGGAAUGAGCCACCGUAUGUACCAAUUAUACCACCAAAAACACCUUCUCCUAUUCAUACCCCUCCUAGUGUUCCUUAUACUCCACCAAAAGCUCCUUCUCCUGGAAACGAGCCACCAUAUGUACCAAUAAUACCACCACCAAAAAUCCCUUCUCCUAUUCGCACCCCUCCUAGUGUUCCAUACACUCCACCAAAAGCGCCUUCUCCUGGGAAUGAGCCUCCAUAUGUACCAAUUACACCACCAAAAACACCUUCUCCAAUUCACACUCCUCCAAAAACUCCUUCUCCUGGGAAUGAGCCGCCAUAUAUACCAAUUACACCACCAAAAACACCUCCAAUUCAAACACCUCCUAUUCACACCCCUCCUAGUGUUCCAUACACUCCACCAAAAGCUCCUUCUCCUAGGAAUGAGCCGCCAUAUGUACCAAUUACACCACCAAAAACACCUUCUCCAAUUCACACUCCACCAAAAACUCCUUCUCCUAUUCAUACCCCUCCUAGUGUUCCUUAUAGUCCCCCAAAAGCACCUUCUCCUGGGAACCAACCACCGUAUGUACCGAUUACACCACCAAAAACACCAUCUCCUAUUCACACUCCUCCUAGUGUUCCUUAUACUCCCCCAAAAGCACCUUCUCCUGGGAACCAACCACCGUACGUACCAAUUACACCACCAAAAACACCAUCUCCUAUUCACACUCCUCCUAGUGUUCCUUAUUCUCCUCCAAAAACACCUUCUCCUGGUAAUCAACCACCAUAUGUCCCAAUUACACCACCAAAAAGUCCUUCUCCUAUUCAUACCCCUCCUAAUGUUCCUUAUACUCCACCAGAAACUCCUUCUCCUAGCAAUCAACCACCCUAUGUACCAAUUACACCACCAAAAACCCCUUCUCCUAUACACGCCCCUCCGAAUGUUCCUUAUACUCCUCCAGAAGCUCCUUCCCCUAAAAAUCAACCACCUAAUGUUCCAAUUACACCUCCAAAAACUCAUCCCCCUACUUCCAAUCCCAUUCCUCCUAGUAUUGCUCCUUACACUCCCCCUGAAACUCCAUCCCCUAGAAAUCAACCACCAUAUACGCCAAAUCCUCCUAAAACCCCUUCUCCAAUCUCUCAACCACCCUAUGUACCAAUUACACCACCAAAAUCUCCUUCACCUAUUCACACCCCUCCUAAUGUUCCUUAUACACCUCCAACAACUCCUUCCCCUAGCAACCACCCUCCAAAUGUUCCAACAACACCCUCUCCUAUUUCUCAACCUCCAUAUGUUCCAACACCUCCAAAAACACCUUCUCCGAGUUCUCAAGCACCUUACAUUGAAUCACCUCCCAAUACUCCAAUAGCUCCUUCCCCAAGCAAUCACCCUCCAAAUGUACCAACACCUCCAAAAACUCCUUCUCCCAUUUCUCAAGCCCCUUACAUUCAAACACCACCAAACACAC